GAUGAACGCUGGCGGCGUGCCUAACACAUGCAAGUCGAACGAGGCAAAUAAGUUGAAGUUUUCGGAUGGAUUCUUAUUUACCGAGUGGCGGACGGGUGAGUAACGCGUGGGUAACCUGCCUCAUACAGGGGGAUAACGGUUAGAAAUGACUGCUAAUACCGCAUAAGCGCACAGUACCGCAUGGUACGGUGUGAAAACUCCGGUGGUAUGAGAUGGACCCGCGUCUGAUUAGCUAGUUGGUGAGGUAACGGCCCACCAAGGCGACGAUCAGUAGCCGACCUGAGAGGGUGACCGGCCACAUUGGGACUGAGACACGGCCCAG
rnacentral:rRNA from 1 species